rnacentral:tRNA from 1 species
AGUCAAUGAGCUUGAACAAGCAUGUGUUUUGAAAACAUAAGAUAGAAAUCAAACUUUCUAUUGACUU